rnacentral:rRNA from 1 species
CAGCCGCCGCGGGAAUACGUAGGGUGCGAGCGUUAAUCGGAAUUACUGGGCGUAAAGCGUGCGCAGGCGGUUCGGAAAGAGAGAUGUGAAAUCCCAGGGCUUAACCUUGGAACUGCAUUUUUAACUACCGGACUAGAGUGUGUCAGAGGGAGGUGGAAUUCCGCGUGUAGCAGUGAAAUGCGUAGAGAUGCGGAGGAACACCGAUGGCGAAGGCAGCCUCCUGGGAUAACACUGACGCUCAUGCACGAAAGCGUGGGGAGCAAACAGGAUUAGAUACCCGCGUAGUCCCUGUCUCUUAUAA